rnacentral:rRNA from 1 species
GAUCCUGGCUCAGGAUGAACGCUAGCGGCAGGCUUAACACAUGCAAGUCGAGGGGCAGCGCGGGUAGCAAUACCUGGCGGCGACCGGCGCACGGGUGCGUAACGCGUAUGCAACCUGCCCGCAACAGGGGUAUAACGGAGGAAACCUCCACUAAUCCCCCAUAUGGUCUGUUUCUCGCAUGGGAGGCAGACGAAAGCUUUUAGUGGUUGCGGAUGGGCAUGCGUGACAUUAGCUAGUUGUAAGGCAACGGCUUACCAAGGCGACGAUGUCUAGGGGGCUGAGAGGCUUGACCCCCACACUGGUACUGAGACACGGACCAGACUCCUACGGGAGGCAGCAGUGAGGAAUAUUGGUCAAUGGGCGGAAGCCUGAACCAGCCAUGCCGCGUGGGGGAUGGAGGCCCUAUGGGUUGUAAACCCCUUUUAACCGGGGAGUAAUAAGGUCCUUGCGAGGGCCGAUGAGAGUACCGGUGGAAUAAGCAUCGGCUAACUCCGUGCC